rnacentral:rRNA from 1 species
UACGUAGGGCGCAAGCGUUGUCCGGAUUUAUUGGGCGUAAAGGGCUCGUAGGCGGCCAACUAAGUCGGACGUGAAAUCCCCAGGCUCAACCUGGGAACUGCGUCCGAUACUGGAUGGCUUGAAUCCGGGAGAGGGAUGCAGAAUUCCAGGUGUAGCGGUGAAAUGCGUAGAUAUCUGGAGGAAUACCGGUGGCGAAGGCGGCAUCCUGGACCGGCAUUGACGCUGAGGAGCGAAAGCCAGGGGAGCAAACGGG